AAUCAACGCUGGCGGCGUGCCUAACACAUGCAAGUCGAACGAGAAAGGGUAGCAAUACCUGAGUAAAGUGGCGACCGGGUGAGUAACACGUGACUAACCUACCCUAAAGUGGGGAAUAACCUCGGGAAACCGGGGCUAAUACCGCAUAACGUCCUGUGGCUGAAAUGCCGUUGGACCAAAGGAGUAAUCCGCUUAUGGAGGGGGUCGGCGGCAGAUUAGCUAGUUGGUGAGGUAAUGGCUCACCAAGCAUUGAUCUGUAGCCGGCCUGAGAGGGCGCACGGCCACACUGGAACUGAAACACGGUCCAGACUCCUACGGGAGGCAGCAGUGGGGAAGUUUUGUCGCAAUGGAGGAAACUCUGACGCAGCAACGCCGCGUGAAGGA
rnacentral:rRNA from 1 species